GGCACCCAGUGCAGCAAGCUUCGACAUUCGAUUGGACACAUCCGGACUUCAGAUCUUGGUUUAGCCAUGGAGAUCCCGGAAGGGGAGACCACCCAAGGAAGAGUCGGAACGCUCAGCUACACGGAACUUUCUCAUCACCUCAGAGAAGGCCCGCGCCCGUCAGCAGUCACUCCCCACUCCUCACGUCCGCCCCCAGCCCUGCAGCCCCUCAUCUGCUUCCUGUCUCCGUGGACUCGUCUCUUCUGGCUGUUUCGUACGGGUGGACUCACGCGCUCUGUGGCCUUUCGUGUCUGCCUUCUUUGGUUUAACGUGUUGGCGAGGGUCAUCCACGUGGUGACAGACAUUAAGGUUAAGUGUGUUGUUUG